UUAUCUCUGUAGAGUCUGCAUAUCAAUAAGCGGAGGAAAAGAAACUAACAAGGAUUCCCUUAGUAACGGCGAGUGAAGCGGGAAGAGCUCAAAUUUGAAAUCUUCAAGGUUUUACCUUGACGAAUUGUAGUUUAAAGAAGUGUUUUCUGUUGAAGUUUCGGUAAAAGUUCUUUGGAAUAGGACAUCAUAGAGGGUGAGAAUCCCGUAUUUGACCGUUAUUUUCAGCUGUGUGAUACACUUUCAAAGAGUCGGAUUGUUUGGGAAUGCAGUCCAAAAUGGGUGGUAAAUUUCAUCUAAAGCUAAAUAUUGGCGAGAGACCGAUAGCGAACAAGUACCGUGAGGGAAAGAUGAAAAGAACUUUGAAAAGAGAGUUAAACAGUACGUGAAAUUGUCAAAAGGGAAGCGUUUGACACCAGUGUUGUUUUCUCGAAAAUCAAUUAAAAAUGGCUUGAUUUUGUGUUGUAUUGACCUUAAAAGCUUUCUUCACUUUUUUCAUGUCUUUUUUAAUGCACUUUUCGUUUAACAAGUCAACAUCAGUUUCUUUUGUUGUAAAAAGGUCAUUGGAAGGUGGCUUUCUUUUCAGGAGAAAGUGUUUAUAGCCUUUGACUCCUGCAAUCGGAGAGACUGAGGUCUGCAGCGUAGAUCCUUCUGGAUUAGAUUCAUUUGUGCUAAGUUACAACCGUUUAUAGACAACUUGUUGACUAUAUUCGAUCCUGUAGCUUACUCGCUUAUGUAAUUCUACCUACGCUUAGGAUGUUGACUGAUAUGUAGUCGUA
rnacentral:rRNA from 1 species